rnacentral:rRNA from 1 species
UACGAAGGGGGCUAGCGUUGUUCGGAAUCACUGGGCGUAAAGCGCACGCAGGCGGAUUGAUAAGUCAGGGGUGAAAUCCCGGAGCUCAACUUCGGAAUUGCCUUUGAUACUGAGGAUCUUGAGUACGGGAGAGGUGAGUGGAACUGCGAGUGUAGAGGUGAAAUUCGUAGAUAUUCGCAAGAACACCAGUGGCGAAGGCGGCUCACUGGCCCGUAACUGACGCUGAGGCACGAAAGCGUGGGGAGCAAACAGG